GGUCAGCGACCCCACCGCCUGUCCGGUCCCCGGGCAUGGCACCAAUCCCAUCGCGGCCGGCUCGCCGGACGU
rnacentral:sRNA from 1 species